GUUAACUGCCAACAGUGGAAAGUAAAAUCAGCCACCAAAUACUCAUCACGCAGUUUUACAUGUAUCUUGUGUAUUACCAGUUGUACGUUAGUUCCCCCUUCAACCAUAGUUAACUUCUCUCUUCUAUAUAUGCUUCCCUUCACCGAUACUCAUCUCUCUCUGUGUGUAUAUAUAUUAAUAUAUAUAUACGUCUGUGUGUGUGAGACUGAGGACUCUGCUAUCUUACAAAACAAGAGACAACAGUUCCAAGCAAUCUCUCUAUCUCUUUAUCUCUUUCUCUUCCCCUAUAAAUUAGGAGGGAGAGAAAGACGCUCGAAAAGGACCAGUACUGGCCUGGUUAAGGAGUUUUGUACCCAGUCAACUCAGAAGAGGAAAUCGGAAGAAGAAGCGGAAGCAGAAGCUUAUGAAUUGGUUGCAGAAGAUGGUUUUUCCUGUAAGACGUGUUUGGAUUGCCGUUGCUGCGCGUGUAAAGUCCCGUAACAAUGGUGGUGGGCUAUUGAAGCUACACGAUGACAUACAAACAUGUGGAUACGAGGAUGUACAAGUGAUGUGGGAGAUGCUUCAUAGAACAGAAUCAGAGUUAACAUCAAACAGUCGUCGAAAGCGCAAGCCUAGAUCCUUCUGGAAGAUCUUCAUAUGGCAAAACAACAAUACUUGCUCUUCACCUUUCUCCAUAGACCAUGCUUAAUUAACAACAUCAAAGUCGGUGUCUCCUUACUACCUACAACAAAAUAUGCAAGAAAAAAAAACGUACAAGUACGUCGAUAUAAUUAGUAUGACUUUGAUAUGUAUCUCGAUAGGCUAUUGUGAUUCGAGUGACAAAACUCCAUAAUAGCCAAGUCGUUUUUUUGUAAAUAUAUCAUGCCUUUUUUUUCAAGAUCCAAAUCAAGUCAUACAUAAGAAAAAACAUUACUUGAAUAAACCAUGUGAUGUCUUACUCUUUAAUGGAAUUAUGGAAUCACUUUUGUUGUUGCCAA